UGAUGCGGUCAUACCAAGGCUACUACACCAGAUCCCAUCA
rnacentral:rRNA from 3 species